rnacentral:rRNA from 1 species
UACGGGGGGGGCAAGCGUUGUUCGGAAUUACUGGGCGUAAAGGGCGCGUAGGCGGCUCUGUUAGUCAGGCGUGAAAGUCCUGGGCUCAACUUCGGAACUGCCUCUGAUACAGCACGUCUUGAGUCCGGAAGAGGUGGGUGGAAUUCCUAGUGUAGAGGUGAAAUUCGUAGAUAUUAGGAAGAACACCGGUGGCGAAGGCGGCCCACUGGUCCGGUACUGACGCUGAGGUGCGAAAGCGUGGGGAGCAAACAGG